rnacentral:lncRNA from 1 species
GUAAUUUGAGUUAUAUUUGUUUUUCCCCCUAGGUUCUCUUGAAGUAACCGGUGAUCCUUUGAUUAUCUCAUUAGCAGAAUGGAUGAAGAUAGAUUUCACCCUUUUUUCAAGAGAAAAGUAGAAAUACACAGAACAAGAAAGCAGUAGCUCUAACUUGUUUGAUUCAGUGUGUUUUCUAAAAUAAAAGCAUCAUGAACUGAAAAUUGAAUAACAGAAAGUGUGACUUGUUGUUUUGACAGCUGUUUCUAUCCAUUUUAUCCUGUUCACUUUUGUCUGGAUAUCUAAACUUGAUAUCUAGCUCCAUGUAUGUCAUUUAAAAAAUUUUUUUUUUAUUUCUCAUCUUAUGCAAAAUGAAACUCUUGAGUUUUUUGGUUCUUAGUCUUUGACGGAACUUUAGUAAUUCUGAAUAAUUACUACUUUUGCACAUAGGCGAACCCUAAAAUAUGUAUUAUGGAUUUCUCCCUGUGCCUUUCAUCACUUUAUCUGUCCAUGCAGAAUAAUUGUUAUUGUAUUGUUUUAUUUUUAAAUCUCUGGAGAGUACUUUUCAAGAGUGGACUUUGUAAUCAGAUAUUAGUACAGAUUCCAGUUUCAUCACUUAAUGAUUAUAAUGACCUUUGGACGAGUUACUCUCUUCAAACCUUAGAUAUAUAUUUGUUAAAAAUGAAAAUAAUUGGUGGACUGGGGAUGUAGCUCAGUGGUGGUGUUCUUCCAUGGUAUGUGCAUAAGGCCCUAGAUUCAAUCUCCAGCAUAACAACAAC